rnacentral:sRNA from 1 species
CCCUAGCCCCGAUUGCAGCGGCUACCCCACAGCGAACCUGAAAGGCGAGCGAGGAGUAAUAGCGGAAAGCGGGAAAUAGC